CUACGGGCGGCAGCAGUGGGGAAUAUUGGGCAAUGGGCGAAAGCCUGACCCAGCAACGCCGCGUGAAGGAAGAAGGUCUUCGGAUUGUAAACUUCUUUGGUCAGGGACGAAACAAAUGACGGUACCUGAAGAACAAGCCACGGCUAACUACGUGCCAGCAGCCGCGGUAAUACGUAGGUGGCGAGCGUUAUCCGGAUUUACUGGGUGUAAAGGGCGUGUAGGCGGGCUCAUGAGUCAGAUGUGAAAUCUCCAGGCUUAACUUGGAAACUGCAUCUGAAACUGUGAGUCUUGAGUGUCGGAGAGGAAAGCGGAAUUCCUAGUGUAGCGGUAAAAUGCGUAGAUAUUAGGAGGAACACCAGUGGCGAAGGCGGCUUUCUGGACGAAAACUGACGCUGAGGCGCGAAAGCGUGGGGAGCAAACAGGAUUAGAUACCCCUGUAGUC
rnacentral:rRNA from 1 species